rnacentral:rRNA from 1 species
UACGGAGGGGGCUAGCGUUGUUCGGAAUUACUGGGCGUAAAGCGUACGUAGGCGGCUUUGCAAGUUAGAGGUGAAAGCCCGGGGCUCAACCCCGGAAUUGCCUUUAAGACUGCAUCGCUUGAAUCGCGGAGAGGUGAGUGGAAUUCCGAGUGUAGAGGUGAAAUUCGUAGAUAUUCGGAAGAACACCAGUGGCGAAGGCGGCUAACUGGACGUGUAUUGACGCUGAGGUGCGAAAGCGUGGGGAGCAAACAGG